UCCCCGGGCCCCCACCCCCCGACCGGCUCCAGGCCUCCACUCCAGCCCCCUCUCUGCCUGCCACGGGGACGGCGUGGGGGGCUGCAGGCGGCCCUCGUGGAACCCAAGCCGAGGCCUUACAUCUCAGGCGAUUAUGCAAAGUCGAAAAGCCCGACCUCCUUCUGCGUGGUGCGUGGCCAGGCGGGCACAGGCAUCCAUCCCAGCCUGGCAGGUGACCCUCAGCUGGCCCCAGCUCGGUCGCACGUGCCUUCUCAGCAUCCUCUCUCUCGAGCAGUAAAUGAGGCCUGACUCAGGACCCACACUCUCUUAGCAAGCCAAACUUGCUCCUGACCGAGCCCGAGAGCCAGAGGGAGAAUCAAAGGAGGGAUGGCCCUUACCUUGCACGCGGGUCAGAAACCACCAGAGAAAGCCAGGGCGUGAGCCCUGAUCCCAAGAGAGAAGGGGGCUGCUCCUGACUGGCUCACUCCAGAGCCUGGGGACACCCCCGGCGCCAAGGGGGCACGCAACCCAGCACGUGUGGGAGAAACCGGUGGAUUUUUUUUUUUUUUUUUAAGUGAACAACCCGGAAAAGUAUAGCCAGGAUCCGUUCCAAACCCAUCCUGGGACAGAUUAGGAAUCUGAAUCUCAGAGCAGGGACAGGUUUGGACAAAGAAGCCACACGGCAGUUGGAGAGACAAAAGAUCCACACGAGACAAUUUUUGAAAGCUCAGGAGAAGCCAGAAGAUUACUGAGGAUGAGACGAUGCUUCAAGGGAAAUGCCUGCAGUGUUUUAAACCCUCCACUAGGACACAGACACACCUGCCCACCUGCCUCCACCCCGGCGACGCUCUGCGGCCUGCGCUCUUUCCAGGUCCUGGUUGGCCAAGGCCAUUGACUGCCUCUCAACCUCUACCAUCAUGGCGGCUACAGAACGAAGACCCCAUUUCCUAUUAACCAGGGUGAAACACAGAGGUGAAAUCGCCUGCCUGGGCGCCCUGGCUGUGGCUCACUGAAGCGUAUCUGGCAAAGGAAAACCACAGUAAAUCUAAACUUUUCCCGCCUGCUUUCCGCUGUGCCUGAUAGAUUUAAACAGGAACCGUGACAUCCUCUCCAGAACCCCCUGCCAGAUUACCCUCUGACCUCCACUGGAUGGGACAGAAAACAGAAAGAAAUCAUGAGACAUAUGGAAAUAUUUAGUCAUUCCAGAUGCAGACAUACAUCUGAGCAAUUAGAGCAAACGUCACAUUAUAUGGCAGAGUUAGUGCAAGAAACAGGAGAAAAAUGUAGUCUUUAGGUGUUCUUCCAAGAGAACAUUUCAACUAUGAAACUAUGGGAGGCAGUCUUAAAAGGAAAAAAAUCUGAAAAAACUGCUUUUGUGGGGUGAAAAAAAAUAUGAUGGAUAGAUUUUUUUUUUUAGAUGGAGAAUUAGAAGACCAGCUCAAGAGACAUUACCAGGGCUCAAGAUGGGUCAGUAAAUGAAAAAUGAGAAGGAAAUAAGAAAAAGAGGUUAGGAUAAAAAAAAAAAAAGUAGUUUGAAAAGAAAGGAAGAAAGGGGAAUGGGAAGCAA